CCUCUGCAGAAUAGUAUCGGGAAUGACAUAGGAACUUGUUUUGGUGGAACGGGUGUAUGUUUAAAAGUUGGUUUAGCCAUGCAACAGAAAACUCCGAUUGGGCAGAUUGUCUAACUAGCUGUCUGGAUUUACCCUGCAGAGAUCUGGG